rnacentral:rRNA from 1 species
AUUGAACGCUGGCGGCAGGCCUAACACAUGCAAGUCGGGCGAGUGGCGGACGGGUGAGUAAUGUCUGGGCAUCUGCCUGAUGGAGGGGGAUCACUACUGGAAACGGUAGCUAAUACCGCAUACCAUCAGAUGUACCCAUAUGGGAUUAGCUUGUCGGUGAGGUAACGGCUCACCUAGGCGACGAUCCCUAGCUGGUCUGAGAGGAUGACCAGCCACACUGGAACUGAGACACGGUCCAGACGCCUACGGGAGGCAGCAGUGGGGAAUAUUGCACAAUGGGCGCAAGCCUGAUGCAGCCAUGCCGCGUGUAUGAAGAAGGCCUUCGGGUUGUAAAGUACUUUCAGUGGGGAGGCGUUACCAGCAGAAGAAGCACCGGCUAACUCCGUGCCAGCAGCCGCGGUAAUAC